CGCAGCCUGGUCAAAUUCAGGACUGCCCGCACAAUGGCGACUCCUGGCCAAUGGGCUGCCACAAAAACCUGUAGAUCAUGGGCUGCGUAUUCUACCGCACAGAAUAUGGGGAUAAAUUGUUCUACAGACACCG